UUUAAAAAAACAUCAAAAUUUACUAUUUUUAAGGUUAACUAAUGUUUGAUUAAAUAUUUUAAUAGAGGUUAAGUGAAUAUCGAGGCCAAAUCAUUUCAAAGAUCCAAGUAAAUGUGUUUGAAGAAAAAUUAUCUAUGUUCCCUUUACAAUAAACACUCCAACUAAUCAAGACUAUUGAUGUGUUGAUUGGAACCAGGUAGUCGAAGUGAUCGCUAUCAAAGCGGUACUUUUACUGACGCCCUUUCCAAGACAAAGAAUUUGUCCGAUAGCGACUCAUGAUCGGCAAAGACAUACUCGUGUUGCCAACUGCAGGUCCGUCACAGUGGAGGGGAGGAAAACGACAUUGUAAGGCCCAACUGGCAAGGCAUGUUCCUUACAUUCAACCGUUCAGCUGUAUGUACGCGGACAGGAUCUAGCCAGCUGCGGCCUUCUUCGACCUUCCCCCCACCAGACCGGAAUCGAGCCUUCUGGCCAACUAUACAAACCGGUACCCCAGCGUUCUAACAAGGAACAUCCGCGAAGCUCCGCCUUCGAUCUUGAUGGUGGUAGUUAAAUGAAAGACAAUUAUGCCAUAUGGAAUGCAGUGGAGAAUUAGCAGAAUAAGUGGAACAUAAAAAUAAACGAUUUAAAAAAAAAGAAGAGAAACAG
rnacentral:lncRNA from 1 species